rnacentral:rRNA from 1 species
UAAGGAAUAUUGGACAAUGGAGGCAACUCUGAUCCAGCCAUGCCGCGUGAAGGAAUAAGGCCCUAUGGGUUGUAAACUUCUUUUAGACGGGACAAAACCCCUUUACGUGUAAAGGGUUGAUGGUACUGUCAGAAUAAGCAUCGGCUAACUUCGUGCCAGCAGCCGCGGUAAUACGAAGGAUGCAAGCGUUAUCCGGACUUAUUGGGUUUAAAGGGUGCGUAGGCGGACUAAUAAGUCAGUGGUGAAAGCCUGCAGCUUAACUGCAGAAUUGCCAUUGAUACUGUUAGUCUUGAGUACAGUUGAGGUAGGCGGAAUGUGUCAUGUAGCGGUGAAAUGCUUAGAUAUGACACAGAACACCCAUUUCGAAGGCAGCUUGCUAAGCUGUAACUGACGCUGAGGCACGAAAGCGUGGGGAGCAAACA